UCGCGCAAAGACACAAAGACCUGCAGUCUGUGCUGAUAAAUGUAACUAUUGACGGUGAGAUUGAAAGAAAUAAUCACAAUUUUGUUGUGCCAUAUUAAAACUCAGCAAUGCUCGACAAGCACUUGACCUUUUAUCUAUUAGUCUUUCGGGUAUCUAUUGUUGUCGCUAUUUUGGAGUCAGUCGCUAGUGAGCAAACAGUACUUUGUCAAACUGAUAGCAAAGGUGUCUUGCUGUACGAGAAAAAUAUUACGCUGUACAGUCUUGUUGGAUCAAGUUUCUCAUU